UACGGAGGGUGCAAGCGUUAUUCGGAAUCACUGGGCUUAAAGCGCGUGUAGGCGGGCCACCACGUCGGUCGCUGAAAGCCCCCGGCUCAACCGGGGAACCGGCGCCGAUACGAGUGGCCUGGAGGGGGGUAGGGGGACCUGGAACUUCCGGUGGAGCGGUGAAAUGCGUUGAGAUCGGAAGGAACGCCCGUGGCGAAAGCGAGGUCCUGGACCCCAUCUGACGCUGAGACGCGAAAGCCAGGGGAGCGAACGGG
rnacentral:rRNA from 1 species